UACAGAGGUCUCGAGCGUUUGUUCGGAUUCAUUGGGCGUAAAGGGUGCGUAGGCGGUCUUCUAAGUUUGAUGUGAAAUCCCGGGGCUCAACCCUGGAAUUGCAUUGAAUACUGGAGGACUAGAGUACCGGAGAGGAAACUGGAAUUUACGGUGUAGCAGUGAAAUGCGUAGAGAUCGUAAGGAAGACCAGUGGCGAAGGCGAGUUUCUGGACGGUAACUGACGCUGAGGCACGAAGGCCAGGGGAGCAAACGGG
rnacentral:rRNA from 1 species